AUUGAACGCUGGCGGCAUGCCUUACACAUGCAAGUCGAACGGUAACAGGUUUAGCUUACGUGUCGCGAACGGGUGAGUAAUGUAUCAGAACGUGCCCAGUCGUGGGGGAUAACUACUCGAAAGAGCAGCUAAUACCGCAUACGACCUGAGGUUAGAAUCGGAGGAUCGCAAGACCUCGCGCGAUUGGAGCGGCCGAUAUCAGAUUAGGUAGUUGGUGAGGUAAAGGCUCACCAAGCCGACGAUCUGUAGCUGGUCUGAGAGGACGACCAGCCACACUGGGACUGAGACACGGCCCAGACUCCUACGGGAGGCAGCAGUGGGGAAUUUUGGACAAUGGGCGCAAGCCUGAUCCAGCAAUGCCGCGUGCGGGAAGAAGGCCUUCGGGUUGUAAACCGCUUUUGUCAGGGAAGAAAAGGUUCUGGCUAAUACCUGGGAGUCAUGACGGUACCUGAAGAAUAAGCACCGGCUAACUACGUG
rnacentral:rRNA from 1 species